GUAGGGAAUAUUGCUUAAUGGGCGCAAGCCUGAAGCAGCAACGCCGCGUGUGCGAUGAAGGCCUUCGGGUCGUAAAGCACUUUUUGCCGGGAAAAGGAAGGAUGGUACCGGCAGAAUAAGCCUCGGCUAACUACGUGCCAGCAGCCGCGGUAAAACGUAGGAGGCGAGCGUUAUCCGGAUUUACUGGGUGUAAAGCGCGUGCAGGCGGUUUGCUAAGUUGGAUGUGAAAGCUCCCGGCUCAACUGGGAGAGGUCGUUCAAGACUGGCAGACUGGAGAGCAGUAGGGGAAGGUGGAAUUCCGGGUGUAGUGGUGAAAUGCGUAGAUAUCCGGAGGAACACCAGUGGCGAAGGCGGCCUUCUAGACUGCAUCUGACGCUCAGACGCGAAAGCUAGGGUAGCAAACGGGAUUAGAAACCCGGGUAGUCC
rnacentral:rRNA from 1 species